CAGCCGCCGCGGUAAUACGAGGGGGGCAAGCGUUGUUCGGAAUUAUUGGGCGUAAAGGGUGCGUAGGCGGCUUGACAAGUCUUGUGUGAAAUCUAUGGGCUCAACCCAUAGUCUGCACGGGAAACUGUCGGGCUUGAGAAUGGGAGAGGUGAGUGGAAUUUCCGGUGUAGCGGUGAAAUGCGUAGAUAUCGGAAGGAACACCUGUGGCGAAAGCGGCUCACUGGACCAUUUCUGACGCUGAUGCACGAAGGCUAGGGGAGCAAACAGGAUUAGAUCCCCCGUAGUCCCUGUCUCUAUACAC
rnacentral:rRNA from 1 species